rnacentral:rRNA from 1 species
UUAAGUGACUAAGCGUACACGGUGGAUGCCUGGGCAGUCAGAGGCGAUGAAGGACGUACUAACUUGCGAUAAGCGCAGAUAAGGCAGUAAGAGCCGUUUGAGUCUGCGAUUUCCGAAUGGGGAAACCCAACUGCAUAAGCAGUUACUGUUAACUGAAUACAUAGGUUAACAGAGCAAACCGGGGGAACUGAAACAUCUAAGUACCCCGAGGAGAAGAAAUCAACCGAGAUUCCGGUAGUAGCGGCGAGCGAACCUGGAUUAGCCCUUAAGCACUCGGUGAAGUAGGUGAACAAGCUGGAAAGCUUGGCGAUACAGGGUGAUAGCCCCGUAACCGACGCUUCAUCGAGCGUGAAAUCGAGUAGGGCGGGACACGUGAUAUCCUGUCUGAAUAUGGGGGGACCAUCCUCCAAGGCUAAAUACUCCUGACUGACCGAUAGUGAACCAGUACCGUGAGGGAAAGGCGAAAAGACCCCUGUGAGGGGAGUGAAAUAGAACCUGAAACCGUGUACGUACAAGCAGUAGGAGCACCUUCGUGGUGUGACUGCGUACCUUUUGUAUAAUGGGUCAGCGACUUAUAUUCAGUGGCAAGGUUAACCGUAUAGGGGAGCCGUAGCGAAAGCGAGUCUUAACUGGGCGCUCAGUCUCUGGAUAUAGACCCGAAACCGGGUGAUCUAGCCAUGGGCAGGUUGAAGGUUGAGUAACAUCAACUGGAGGACCGAACCGACUAAUGUUGAAAAAUUAGCGGAUGACUUGUGGCUAGGGGUGAAAGGCCAAUCAAACUCGGAGAUAGCUGGUUCUCCCCGAAAGCUAUUUAGGUAGCGCCUCGGACGAAUACUACUGGGGGUAGAGCACUGUUAAGGCUAGGGGGUCAUCCCGACUUACCAACCCUUUGCAAACUCCGAAUACCAGUAAGUACUAUCCGGGAGACACACGGCGGGUGCUAACGUCCGUCGUGGAGAGGGAAACAACCCAGACCGCCAGCUAAGGUCCCAAAGUAUUGCUAAGUGGGAAACGAUGUGGGAAGGCUCAGACAGCUAGGAUGUUGGCUUAGAAGCAGCCAUCAUUUAAAGAAAGCGUAAUAGCUCACUAGUCGAGUCGGCCUGCGCGGAAGAUGUAACGGGGCUAAGCAAUACACCGAAGCUGCGGCAAUGUCUUUUAGACAUUGGGUAGGGGAGCGUUCUGUAAGCCGUUGAAGGUGAAUCGUAAGGUUUGCUGGAGGUAUCAGAAGUGCGAAUGCUGACAUGAGUAACGACAAAGGGGGUGAAAAACCUCCUCGCCGGAAGACCAAGGGUUCCUGUCCAACGUUAAUCGGGGCAGGGUGAGUCGACCCCUAAGGUGAGGCCGAAAGGCGUAAUCGAUGGGAAACGGGUUAAUAUUCCCGUACUUCUGACUAUUGCGAUGGGGGGACGGAGAAGGCUAGGUGGGCCAGGCGACGGUUGUCCUGGUUCAAGUGCGUAGGCUUGAGAGUUAGGUAAAUCCGGCUCUCUCUAAGGCUGAGACACGACGUCGAGCUACUACGGUAGUGAAGUCAUUGAUGCCAUGCUUCCAGGAAAAGCCUCUAAGCUUCAGAUAGUCAGGAAUCGUACCCCAAACCGACACAGGUGGUCGGGUAGAGAAUACCAAGGCGCUUGAGAGAACUCGGGUGAAGGAACUAGGCAAAAUGGUACCGUAACUUCGGGAGAAGGUACGCUCUUGAUGGUGAAGUCCCUCGCGGAUGGAGCUGACGAGAGUCGCAGAUACCAGGUGGCUGCAACUGUUUAUUAAAAACACAGCACUGUGCAAAAUCGCAAGAUGACGUAUACGGUGUGACGCCUGCCCGGUGCCGGAAGGUUAAUUGAUGGGGUUAGCGCAAGCGAAGCUCUUGAUCGAAGCCCCGGUAAACGGCGGCCGUAACUAUAACGGUCCUAAGGUAGCGAAAUUCCUUGUCGGGUAAGUUCCGACCUGCACGAAUGGCGUAAUGAUGGCCACGCUGUCUCCACCCGAGACUCAGUGAAAUUGAAAUCGCUGUGAAGAUGCAGUGUACCCGCGGCUAGACGGAAAGACCCCGUGAACCUUUACUACAGCUUGGCACUGAACAUUGAACCUACAUGUGUAGGAUAGGUGGGAGGCUAUGAAGACGUGACGCCAGUUGCGUUGGAGCCGUCCUUGAAAUACCACCCUUGUAUGUUUGAUGUUCUAACUUAGACCCAUUAUCUGGGUUGAGGACAGUGCCUGGUGGGUAGUUUGACUGGGGCGGUCUCCUCCCAAAGAGUAACGGAGGAGCACGAAGGUGGGCUAAUCACGGUUGGACAUCGUGAGGUUAGUGCAAUGGCAUAAGCCCGCUUAACUGCGAGAAUGACGGUUCGAGCAGGUGCGAAAGCAGGUCAUAGUGAUCCGGUGGUUCUGUAUGGAAGGGCCAUCGCUCAACGGAUAAAAGGUACUCCGGGGAUAACAGGCUGAUACCGCCCAAGAGUUCAUAUCGACGGCGGUGUUUGGCACCUCGAUGUCGGCUCAUCACAUCCUGGGGCUGAAGUCGGUCCCAAGGGUAUGGCUGUUCGCCAUUUAAAGUGGUACGCGAGCUGGGUUUAGAACGUCGUGAGACAGUUCGGUCCCUAUCUGCCGUGGGCGUUGGAAGAUUGAAGGGGGCUGCUCCUAGUACGAGAGGACCGGAGUGGACGAACCUCUGGUGUUCGGGUUGUGUCGCCAGACGCAUUGCCCGGUAGCUAAGUUCGGAAUUGAUAAGCGCUGAAAGCAUCUAAGCGCGAAGCGAGCCCUGAGAUGAGUCUUCCCUGACAGUUUAACUGUCCUAAAGGGUUGUUCGAGACUAGAACGUUGAUAGGCAGGGUGUGUAAGCGUUGUGAGGCGUUGAGCUAACCUGUACUAAUUGCCCGUGAGGCUUAACCAU